AUGAACGCUAGCGGCAGGCCUAACACAUGCAAGUCGAGGGGCAGCACGUUAAAGAGUUUACUCUUUAUGGUGGCGACCGGCGGACGGGUGCGUAACGCGUAUGCAACCUGCCUGACACAGGGGGAUAAUCCGAAGAAAUUUGGUCUAAUACCCCAUAAUACCGAUAUAGGCAUCUAUGUUGGUUGAAAGCUUUGGUGGUGUCAGAUGGGCAUGCGUUGUAUUAGCUAGUUGGUGAGGUAACGGCUCACCAAGGCGACGAUACAUAGGGGGACUGAGAGGUUAACCCCCCACACUGGUACUGAGACACGGACCAGACUCCUACGGGAGGCAGCAGUGAGGAAUAUUGGUCAAUGGGCGGAAGCCUGAACCAGCCAUGCCGCGUGCAGGAAGACGGCUCUAUGAGUUGUAAACUGCUUUUGUACUAGGGUAAUUUGCGGUACGUGUACCGUAUUGAAAGUAUAGUACGAAUAAGGAUCGGCUAACUCCGUGCCAGCAGCCGCGGUAAUACGGAGGAUCCAAGCGUUAUCCGGAUUUAUUGGGUUUAAAGGGUGCGUAGGCGGCAGAUUAAGUUAGAGGUGAAAUUCCGAGGCUCAACCUUGGCACUGCCUCUGAUACUGGUUUGCUAGCGAGUAGAUGCUGUAGGCGGAAUGUGUGGUGUAGCGGUGAAAUGCAUAGAGAUCACACAGAACACCGAUUGCGAAGGCAGCUUACAAAUCUAUAUCGGACGCUGAGGCACGAAAGCGUGGGGAGCAAACAGGAUUAGAUACCCUGGUAGUCCACGCAGUAAACGAUGAUAACUCGUUGUCGGCGAUAUACAGUCGGUGACCAAGCGAAAGCGAUAAGUUAUCCACCUGGGGAGUACGUUCGCAAGAAUGAAACUCAAAGGAAUUGACGGGGGCCCGCACAAGCGGUGGAGCAUGUGGUUUAAUUCGAUGCAACGCGAAGAACCUUACCUGGUCUUGACAUCCACGGAAGUUUUCAGAGAUGAGAAUGUGCCUUCGGGAACCGUGAGACAGGUGCUGCAUGGCUGUCGUCAGCUCGUGUUGUGAAAUGUUGGGUUAAGUCCCGCAACGAGCGCAACCCCUGUUUCUAGUUGCCAGCACGUCAAGGUGGGAACUCUAGAAAGACUGCCGUAGAUAAUACGGAGGAAGGUGGGGAUGACGUCAAAUCAGCACGGCCCUUACGUCCGGGGCGACACACGUGUUACAAUGGUCGGUACAGAGGGCAGCUACCUGGUGACAGGAUGCGAAUCUCGAAAGCCGGUCUCAGUUCGGAUUGGAGGCUGAAACUCGCCUCCAUGAAGUUGGAUUCGCUAGUAAUCGCGCAUCAGCCAUGGCGCGGUGAAUACGUUCCCGGGCCUUGUACACACCGCCCGUCAAGCCAUGGGAGUCGGGGGUGCCUGAAGUACGUUACCGCGAGGAGCGUCCUAGGGCAAAACUGAUGACUGGGGCU
rnacentral:rRNA from 1 species